GGCUCAGAUUAAACGCUGGCGGCAGGCCUAACACAUGCAAGUCGAGCGGUAGCACAAGAGAGCUUGCUCUCUGGGUGACGAGCGGCGGACGGGUGAGUAAUGUUUGGGAAACUGCCUGAUGGUGGGGGAUAACUAGUGGAAACGGUAGCUAAUACCGCAUAAUGUCGCAAGACCAAAGUGGGGGACCUUCGGGCCUCACGCCAUCAGAUGUGCCCAGAUGGGAUUAGCUGUUAGGUGGGGUAAUGGCUCACCUAGGCGACGAUCCCUAGCUGGUCUGAGAGGAUGACCAGCCACACUGGAACUGAGACACGGUCCAGACUCCUACGGGAGGCAGCAGUGGGGAAUAUUGCACAAUGGGCGCAAGCCUGAUGCAGCCAUGCCGCGUGUGUGAAGAAGGCCUUCGGGUUGUAAAGCACUUUCAGCGAGGAGGAAGGGUAAUGUG
rnacentral:rRNA from 1 species